rnacentral:rRNA from 1 species
UGGGGAAUAUUGGACAAUGGGCGCAAGCCUGAUCCAGCCAUACCGCGUGGGUGAAGAAGGCCUUCGGGUUGUAAAGCCCUUUUGUUGGGAAAGAAAAGCAAUCGAUUAAUACCCGGUUGUUCUGACGGUACCCAAAGAAUAAGCACCGGCUAACUUCGUGCCAGCAGCCGCGGUAAUACGAAGGGUGCAAGCGUUACUCGGAAUUACUGGGCGUAAAGCGUGCGUAGGUGGUUGUUUAAGUCUGUUGUGAAAGCCCUGGGCUCAACCUGGGAAUUUCAGUGGAUACUGGGCAACUAGAGUGUGGUAGAGGGUAGUGGAAUUCCCGGUGUAGCAGUGAAAUGCGUAGAGAUCGGGAGGAACAUCCAUGGCGAAGGCAGCUACCUGGACCAACACUGACACUGAGGCACGAAAGCGUGGGGAGCAAACAGG